GCAUGUCUUUUCGCCUGCAUAUGGUCAAAUGAAAAUAUGCAGAGAAGAUUAGCAUGGCCCCUGUACUAAGGAUGACACGCUCAAUCAAAGAGAAGCUACCUAAUUUA
rnacentral:snRNA from 1 species